rnacentral:rRNA from 1 species
UACGUAGGGUGCAAGCGUUAAUCGGAAUUACUGGGCGUAAAGCGUGCGCAGGCGGUUUUGUAAGUCUGUCGUGAAAUCCCCGGGCUCAACCUGGGAAUUGCGAUGGAGACUGCAAAGCUGGAGUCUGGCAGAGGGGGGUAGAAUUCCACGUGUAGCAGUGAAGUGCGUAGAGAUGUGGAGGAACACCGAUGGCGAAGGCAGCCCCCUGGGUCAAGAUUGACGCUCAUGCACGAAAGCGUGGGGAGCAAACGAGG